UACGUAGGGACCGAGCGUUGUCCGGAUUCAUUGGGCGUAAAGAGCUCGUAGGCGGCUGCUCAAGUCGACUGUGAAAACUCGAGGCUCAACCUCGAGCCUGCAUUCGAUACUGGGCGGCUAGAGUCUGGUAGGGGGAUCUGGAAUUCCUGGUGUAGCGGUGGAAUGCGCAGAUAUCAGGAGGAACACCGGUGGCUAAGGCGGGAUCCUAGUCCAGUACUGACGCUGAGGAGCGAAAGCGUGGGGAGCAAACAGG
rnacentral:rRNA from 1 species